rnacentral:rRNA from 1 species
UACGUAGGGUGCGAGCGUUAAUCGGAAUUACUGGGCGUAAAGCGUGCGCAGGCGGUUUUGCAAGUCAGAUGUGAAAGCCCCGGGCUCAACCUGGGAAUUGCAUUUGAAACUACAAGGCUAGAGUGUGUCAGAGGGGGGUAGAAUUCCACGUGUAGCAGUGAAAUGCGUAGAGAUGUGGAGGAAUACCGAUGGCGAAGGCAGCCCCCUGGGAUAACACUGACGCUCAUGCACGAAAGCGUGGGGAGCAAACAGG